rnacentral:rRNA from 1 species
GAUGAACGCUGGCGGCGUGCCUAACACAUGCAAGUCGAACGGAAAGGCCACCAUCUUGGUUGGGUUGCUUGAGCGGCGCACGGGUGAGUAACACGUGGGUGACCUGCCCUGAAGACUGGGAUAAGCUCGGGAAACCGGGUCUAAUACCGGAUAAGAUUAUGAAGCAGAGUGUUAAGGAGGAAAGGUCAUUGUUUCGGUGCAGGAUGAGCAGGCGGCCUAUCAGCUAGCUGGUGGGGAAAUGGACUACCAAGGCCAUGACGGGUAGCUGGCCUCAGAGGGUGAUCGUGCACAGUGGAACUGAGACUCGGUCCAGACUCCGACGGGAGGGAGAAGUAGGGAUGGGUACGCAAUGGGAGAAAGCGUGAGGCAGCUACGGCGAGUGCGUGAUGAAGGUCUUCGGCUUGUAAAUGUCUGCUACUAGGGAUGAAGACAUGUCCACGCAUAUUGGGUGUGAUUGACGGUACUUUGUUAAGAAGCACCGGCUAACUACGUG